ACUGGGAAUAUAGGAAUAUAAUGGAAUAUAAUUUCUAUUGCAGAGGCUCCAUGUGACACUGAGAUACACAUUUCCUCUGUGACACACAAGAAACAAUUACAGCUGCCUGUGCUCCAAUUCCCUUUCUGGAAAUGGGGUUGUCUGGUGUUCACUGUUCUACUCAUGGCUCAUAAGGACCAGUACCACUAGUAUUCAGGUCCUUGCCCAGGCCUGGCUAAUCCAGCCCUCAGGAGAGGGACAUCCCAGCACAUCGUGGCAGCUAGUAGGCUGUGUUGAACCAGCCUCCACUCCACGAAAAGAGAGCCUGUAUCAUGCUCAGUGCUCCCGGGGCUGGCCUGAGGAAAGAGUGAGGAAUAGGCCUGGUGUCACUUGUUGUUCUCCAUGGAAUAACAGAUAAUACCAGGGAGAAGUAGAAACUGGAAGGACACCUACAAAUCUGAAGCUUCCCACCCCAGCAUCCCAAAUCUACCCUUAGCAACAUGAACAUCAGCCGGAGAUUUUUGUGCUGUGGCACUGACAAGGUAUGCAAUAGCUUAGGAUAAUUUUGGUGCCUCUGCAAACCAGCUGCCCCAAGUGUUUGUCUGUUUUGUCAAUGUUUAGUGUGAGUCAUAUCUUCUAUUAGGGGGAAGGGAAGGGAAGGGAA
rnacentral:lncRNA from 1 species